rnacentral:lncRNA from 12 species
GAUGAAAUAUGUCACUUUGACAAACAGAUUUGGAUAUUCUGUCUCUCCGCAGUCAGGUACAUAGAAGCUGUGUUUGCAUGCCUAGAAAAUAGCACAACCAAGACGACCACCAAGUGAACCGACCUGCUCCAAUAAAGACUUAAUAUGCUCACAUUCAGGAUCCAUCUCUGCUUGGACCAUCAAAAUCAAACUGGUGAGUAAAAUAUUACUC